rnacentral:rRNA from 1 species
CACGUAGGGCGCAAGCGUUGUCCGGAAUUAUUGGGCGUAAAGAGCUCGUAGGCGGUCUGUUGCGUCCGCUGUGAAAACUCGGGGCUUAACCCCGAGCCUGCAGUGGAUACGGGCAGACUAGAGGUAGGUAGGGGAGAAUGGAAUUCCCGGUGUAGCGGUGAAAUGCGCAGAUAUCAGAAGGAACAUCAGUGGCGAAAGCGACUUCCUGGACCAGAACUGACGAUCAGGCACGAAAGCGUGGGGAGCAAACAGG